CUGUCAGCAGUCUCUGCUACACUUUGUAUUAUUGACUGUUGUGUAAUUGUGUGAGGAAUACACGUAGUGACAUUACAAGGUAACAUUGGACGGUCUGGUCCUACAGACAGCCAGCAAUAUGCAGCUAUCACCAGAUCAUUGUGUUCUCCCCGUCUAACACAGGCUCAAUAUUGUGCUCCAUGAUAGGCAAUAACAAUACCC